rnacentral:hammerhead_ribozyme from 1 species
AGGCGAAACGGGGCACCUCGCCCCGUCGCUCCAGGGUGGUGCCUGGGGCCUGAUGAUGCAAGCCACAA